AGUCUUUGGCGCUUCACAGGUUCUGUAGAUUCGCUCUCGGAUUAAUAGGGAAGUCAGUGCUUCAAUCUGACGCUGCCCCCGCAACGGUGAUCAAGUUAAGGUGCCUCAAUAACCACUGUACGUCGGUAUGGGAAGGUGAGCCACCCCUUAAGACAUAGCUUUUUUAAAGAUAGCUUUUUAAAAAACCGAGUCUUUUGCUUGUCAGCCCGGAGACCUGCCCGUGAUGUUAUGCCUGA
rnacentral:ncRNA from 1 species